CCUGUGACUUCGAGCAGGACUCCUGCGGCUGGCGGGACAUCAGCACCUCAGGCUACAGCUGGCUCCGGGACCGCGCAGGGGCUGUGCUGCAGGGUCCCGGGCCUCGCUCAGACCACACUCUUGGCACUGACCUGGGAUGGUACGUGGCUGUUGGCACUCACCGUGGGAAAGAGGCUUCUGUGGCAGCCCUGCGUUCCCCUGUCCUGAAGGAGGCAGCCCCUACCUGCGAGCUGAGACUCUGGUACCACGCAGCCUCUGCAGCCCCCCAGGCAAGCUGCCCCCUGGGGCAUCACCAUUGUCAGAACAAGGCCUGCGUGGAGCCCCACCAACUGUGCGACGGGGAGGACAACUGUGGGGACAGUUCAGAUGAAGACACACCCCUGU